GGGUUCCUGGCGUGCUGAUU
rnacentral:miRNA from 1 species